GCUGUAUCCCUGCCAUUCAACUGUAUGGUGAGAAGUGUUCGCUCCUUCCAAUGCAUGUGAACUGUAUACUUGCCUGAAACAUCCAUUCUGUCCGUCUCAGAAGAAGCCCCAUUCAGCCUGUUGACUUCGAGUCUGCUGUAUCCCUGCUAUUCGUCUGUAUUGUGAGAAGUGUUCGUUCCUUCCAAUGCAUGUGAACUGUAUACUUGCCUGAAACAUCCAUUCUGUCUGUCUCAGAAGAAGCCCCAUUCAGCCUGUUGACUUCGAGUCUGCUGUAUCCCUGCUAUUCAUCUGUAUGAGGAAGCCCCAUUCAGCCUGUUGACUUCGAGUCUGCUGUAUCCCUGCUAUUCAUCUGUAUUGUGAGAAGUGUUCGUUCCUUCCAACGCAUGUGAACUGUAUACUUUGUCUGAAGCAUCCAUUCUGUCUGUUUCAGUAGAAACCCUGCACAGCCUGUUGACUUAGAGUUUGUUGCAUCCUUGUGGCUCACCUGUGCUGAGAGAGGUGACUGUCCUUUGUCACGAACGUGAGAUGGGCACGCUUUGUCUGGAAUAUCCACUCUGACGGUGUCAGGAGAAGCCACCUUACUGUAAGACCGUGCACCUGCCGUAUACGUACUCGACUGAUAUCAUUCACCUCAAAUUCCGUACCUGUGGAAGAAGGAAGGAAGGCUGGAAUUACAUACUUACCGGAGGAGACUUACCGGACCCCUCACUUGCCAAACACAUCCCCACCUCAAGGCUGUGUAUCUGCCGUGUACGGACCUGACCGAUAUCCAUCCGUCCCAAAUUCUGCAUCUGUGAAGAAGGGAAGGAAGUUUGGAAGUAUUUAAUUACCAGAGGAGACUUACCAGACUGCGGGCUUGCCGAUCGUAUUCCCACCUGUGAAAUACCUACUUGACCACCCAUCUGUCCAUCUAUUGCGGGGCCCGCACAGAGGAAGAGGGCGGGAGAGUCCCCGGUCGCUGCAUUGUUUACCUUCAAGCCCUGAGGGUAACAAAGAAGAUUUUAGGUUAGGAUUCCCAAUUUGCUUUUACUUCAAAAUAAAACUUGUUAAAUUUA